GAUGAAGAACGCAGCGAAAGGCGAUAAGUAAUGUGAAUUUCAGAAUUCAGUGAAUCAUCGAAUCUUUGAACGCACAUUGCGCCCCCUGGUAUUCCGGGGGGCAUGCCUGUCCGAGCGUCAUUACAACCCUCAAGCUCAGCUUGGUAUUGGGCCCCGCCGACCCGGCGGGCCCUAAAGUCAGUGGCGGUGCCGUCCGGCUCCGAGCGUAGUAAUUCUUCUCGCUCUGGAGGUCCGGUCGUGUGCUCGCCAGCAACCCCCAAUUUUUUUCAGGUUGACCUCGGAUCAGGUAGGGAUACCCGCUGAACUUAAGCAUAUCAAUAAGCGGAGGA
rnacentral:misc_RNA from 1 species